GACAGAGGGUGCAAACGUUGUUCGGAAUUACUGGGCGUAAAGCGAGUGUAGGCGGUUCGGCAAGUCGGAUGUGAAAGCCCCGGGCUCAACCCGGGAAGUGCACUCGAUACUGCCGAGCUAGAGUAUCGGAGAGGUUGGUGGAAUUCUCGGUGUAGAGGUGAAAUUCGUAGAUAUUCGCAAGAACACCAGUGGCGAAGGCGGCUCACUGGCCCGAUACUGACGCUGAGGCACGAAAGCGUGGGGAGCAAACAGG
rnacentral:rRNA from 1 species